UGGUUCUAGGAUUUGCAAUCCCCUAAAAAUAGCUGUCACACACACAUAUAUACACCUACUAAAUUAGUAUCUAAUAUGAUGCCAGUAAAAUACUCUCAAUUACCUAAAGUGUUGGAACUUUUGAGUUAUCAUCAACUACUGAGACUGCAGCCGUAACCAACUGAAGUUCCCACUUGGUUCCCACUUUUCUGGGGAGACAGAGUAUCAUCUCCUCUGGGCAGAAAGCCAUGGCCACAGGAGGGAUCAAAACAGAUGAACUAUCACUGCUGGACUGGACUCUGAGAAACAAAGGUGUCCACAGAAGUUUCUGGAUGGGGCUGUUCUCCUCACACUGAAGUUUUCAGCACUGCCUUUUGAACUUGCAUCUUCAACUCUAAACAACUGCUUUCCUCUCACCUCCUCUGCUGCACUACUGUUUGAUAAUAGCAGAAGUAACAAGG